rnacentral:rRNA from 1 species
UACGUAGGGUGCUAGCGUUGUUCGGAAUCAUUGGGCGUAAAGCGCGUGUAGGUGGUUAGUUAAGUCGGGUGUGAAAUCCCUGGGCUCAACCGAGGAAGUGCAUCCGAAACUGCAUCGCUGGAGUCUCGGAGAGGAAGGUGGAAUGCUUGGUGUAGAGGUGAAAUUCGUAGAUAUCAAGCAGAACACCUGCGGCGAAGGCGGCCUUCUGGACGAUGACUGACGCUGAGACGCGAAAGCGUGGGGAGCAAACAGG